rnacentral:tRNA from 1 species
GGUGGCUCAGUGGUAGAGUGCUUGCCUCGCAUGCAUGAGGUUCUGGGUUCAAUUCCUCAGCACCA